rnacentral:rRNA from 1 species
UACAUGCAAGUCGAGCGGACAGAUGGGAGCUUGCUCCCUGAUGUUAGCGGCGGACGGGUGAGUAACACGUGGGUAACCUGCCUGUAAGACUGGGAUAACUCCGGGAAACCGGGGCUAAUACCGGAUGGUUGUUUGAACCGCAUGGUUCAGACAUAAAAGGUGGCUUCGGCUACCACUUACAGAUGGACCCGCGGCGCAUUAGCUAGUUGGUGAGGUAACGGCUCACCAAGGC